AAAAUUGGAAAAGCCAUUGGAAAAGCUUAUAGCGCGCGCAAGCAAGAGUCCGUCGUCCAGCGUUGCCAAGUCUCUUAAACCACAAUUUUCUUCUACCAAACUUUUGCAUUUCUUUAGCGUUCCAUUGUAUUCCGCCCCUCAGUGAUCUAAGCAUUUCAUUCAUUUUUUGAACUGUGCAUAACUAGGUGGUAAAAUAUAGUUCUGGAUCCACACUAUUUUGUGGAGGAAGCAGGGCUGAAAAUGUGAUGCUCAAUAGAUCUCAAAUUUUCAACUCUAUUUGAAAUUUGUGAACAUUUUGGCCUUGCUCUCCUUAGAAAGUAGUGUGGACCUAGCCCUAUUUUACUACUUUUUCAUUUAUUGUUAAUAAGUUAUCAUUUCAAGAAUGAAUAAUGAAUUUGCAAUUUCACUAACUGAAUGUGUUUUCAGAAUCGGGUUAAAAUUAGUAGCAAAGCACAUACUUACUUCUAACGGACAGCCCUUUCUUGGAAAUUUCCUAGUAUGCGAUUUAUUUAUUGCACUGAGAGGAGCGCUCAUUCAAAAUGAGUUUUAUUUUGCGCGAAGCCUGUUGCGCCAAUCACAGCAAAAUGUUGUGAAGCAUUGUGCAUUUGCAUCGCCUGCAAAUCAGGUAUAACUGCAGUGGUAUAACACCCGUUUCAGCUUGACGCCGACACCAAGACAGAUUAUAAGUUCCCGACUUGAGCCUGUGUUACAGAACACGCUCUUGACACACUGUUGACUGGCGAGGAUCGAUGACUACCAACGCACGCUACCGACCUUCCUGCUAGCAUCCUAGAUGUCGUUCAAAAUUCGCAUAAAAGGGCCGUUUGUAAAAAAAGUAAAGACUUUUUUCGGAGAGAGAGGGUGAGAGGAGAGGGCUGGGAGAGGAAAAAAUAGCAGAUAUGGAGGAACAGUUAGUAGAGAGAAAAAAAUUAGGGAGAGAGAUGAAUUUUAGAUGGCGAAAAUAAUAUCUCCGCAGAAAAUAAUUUUACCAGAGGCUGAAAUACCGUCCAGCAAUGAGAAAAAAUAUUGACGGUGGAGGUUGGGGUGAGUUAGUCAAUAACAACGGUCUUUUUGGGUAAGCAGAGUUGGUUACAUUUCCUCGAAUUCUUUGUGUUUAAAAUGUUCUGUUAGAUUGUUGAGCAUGAGACAGAGCACUAUAUCAUAAAUAAUUAGCUCUGUUUUAUUCUUAGAUUUGUAAUAAAAUAGGUCCUGAAGUAUAGAGUUGUAACAGUUUUUUUGUGAUCAAUAAGUGAGAAAUGCGAAGGAGAGAUGUCAUUGAUGCGGAGUAUUAGUUCUAAUCUUGAACGUCAGCUCUUUAGUGCGCAUUCACAGUUAAAAUGUGUUCGAUUCUGGUCCUCUAAUUUCUCAGGUUUAGUGCAGGAAAAUGCUGUUUUCUACUUUGAUCCCAACGCUCUCCAGCUUUGGACUGCAGGACGACCUUUCGUUACUGUAGGUUGUACAAUCGGCAGAAGGUAAAAUUUUUUUGAAUCGUCCACGUUCACAAUUAUCUGUCUGUUCCUGCAGUAAGAUAUCUCCAUCUUUUCAAGCACAGCGUUUCAAUAGCAUGUAAGUAGAAAACCUCUUUAAUUUCCUCAGACUUUUUCUCUAUUUUCUAGACUGCAAGAAACAAAAUUACAGAAUACUCUCCUGAUCAAAAAGUACAAGUCUAACAAGGAAACAACUCAUAAAUGAUACUGUAAUUAUUGUUAAUUACUCCACGUACUGACAGUUUUAAUGAUUCUUCAUUAAGUCAAUUGAAGACUCAAUAGAAGUGUUGAACAAACACCAUAUCAGGUAUCAAAUAACUAUUGGAAUGUACCUCUGCAUUCAGCAUUCUGCCUUCCCCUUACAAUUGUUGGCGACACCUUUGCAGGAAUAAAACCCAUUUUUUAGGAUCCUAAUUAACUUUUUACACACGCAUUUUGGCGCAUUUAAUAUUGGUAUGUCAACUUUUUUAGUUGCCACAAUGGCCCAGUCCUGUAAUUUUAGGGUUUGCCUGUAGAAGGCAGAGAACUGUCUUCACUUGGAAAAUACUAUGAUUUUUUUUCUGAGGAAAGUAUAUUAUGUGUUCACAGAAGCUGCAUAGUUGGCGAACUGUAGAUGAUCCUGCAAUCAUGAUAUGUGUAUUUAAAUCUUCAAUGUUGUGUGUUAAAGUUUUCUACCUCUAGUGAUACUCAACAUUGUUUAUCUAAUGAUCAGUUUCUGUCACAUCACUUAACGAGAGUGUGUCACCAUUGCCUUCAUAGUAAUAUUAGAUUGUGCUGUAAAGUGAAAAUGAAAUCUCAUCAAUUAAAGCCUUCAAAAAACUUG